rnacentral:rRNA from 2 species
AAACUUUCAACAACGGAUCUCUUGGUUCUCGCAUCGAUGAAGAACGCAGCGAAACGCGAUAUGUAAUGUGAAUUGCAGAAUUUUGUGAAUCAUCGAAUCUUUGAACGCACAUUGCGCCCUCUGGUACUCCGGAGGGCAUACCUGUUUGAGCGUCAUU